CAAACUUGUCAUUUCUGAUUGGUAACAAACUUACCAUUUCUAAUUGAACUGAUGGCCGCGUUUGAUAACAGGCAGAAAGAGUGAAGAGUUUUCCAAUACCAAAAGAAGCUAUUUUCUGUUUUCAGACAGAUCUAUGAAAUACUAUGAACUAAUUAGGAGAAAGCCUGGUUAAUAAAUUCCCAGACUGAAGCAGAAGCUGCUGCUGGUUUAGCUCAGCAGUUCUCUUGUGAGAAGAUAAAAUUCAAAUUGCUGGUAGUAGAAAAGGAAAACUCAGAUGAUGCCAUGCAGAUACAUGCUCUGGAAAGUACCACAAUUGAAUGAAAAUUAGCUGGUGUGAAGGAAAAGGUGAGCCUGCAGAGAAGGAAAGAAGAAAGGUAGAGAAGAAUACUGUUCAGCAUGGGAAAACCAUGGACAGAGAUCAGAUAACUAAAGAGGUCCAACUCAAGAAAAUGCACAUUUCUUCUCCUUAGAAAAUACUUUGUGCCUGCAAAGGAUGUUUUGUCCCAUGUACAGAUGGGCCUUCUGAAAAAAAAUCCAUAUAUCAACCAGGCAAACACUCCAAGAAAUAUCAUCUCACAGUUUGAUUGGCCAUAUGGAACUGAUGGAUUAUGUUUCCAUGUUGAUUGCUAAUGGAAAAAAACAGUGAGGAAUGUUAGAAGGAAACUGCACAUAAAAAUGGAUAUGAAACUUCUUCAGAUACAUUCCAUCAGGAAUUUUAUUUCAUGUAUAAGCUGUUUACUCCUUGAUGAACCUGAUGGAAUAAAUAUCCAACUCAUAUUAGUCAACUGAACGGAUCCAUGUUUGGCUCGUAUGGCACUUCAUCUUCUUUCAGGAUCGCUACAUCUUUAGGACUGAAAAUCACAUGAGUGGCUUCAAAAUAGUUGGAGAAUUGGGGACACUGGGCAAUGUGAAAAUGCUCACAUCUAAAGUAUGGACUGCUUUGUGGCUAACCUGGUGUUUAACAGCCAUUGAACAUCUGGCCAUCUCUAUACUCCUCUACAGAAGCAGACCGACUUGAAUGAAGAAACAGGAUGAGAGUUACUACAGAGAUUGGCUUUUGAAAACAAGAAGGAAGACCAUUGAAGGCAUUGAAAUAUUAAUAUAGCUUUAUAUGUAUUUUUCCAGAUGUGGCAUCUUGACAUCACUUGUCAAAACAAUUUAUCCACACAAGGGCUUCUGAAGAUAGAAUCAGAUCUCCCAAGGAGCAGAAAUACAAUGCAAAGAAUUACAGCCAACAAAUUGACUCAGAAUUGGAGUAUUUUCAGGAUCAGCUUCUCCCAAUGUUUCUGACUAUUUGAAAGAACAAAGAGAAGAGGAUCCCUCCAGAUCCUUAGGAAAUGACAUCAGCAAGGGCCUUGGAGAGAGAUCUUUUCACUGCUUGCACAUCCCCCAGCCCCUUGGCACAGCAAGAACCAUACAGUAAAAUCUGUGAUUUUUAGUUUUAGAAAGGUCAUUAAAUGGCUUUUUCAGCAGAUACUAUGACACAAUAAUAUUGUGAAAUGGUCCUUCUCAUAAUCUAGGAAUUGGUUGAAAUAGGAGAAAAGAAGAUGCAUUGCAUAUGUUCACAGCCUUGGGUUGUUUGUAAAAAUAAUAAAGGCAGGAUACAAAAAUAGUUAUUUUACUGAUCUUUGCUGUUAAAUUUUGAUUUAUACCAUUUUGUUACCAAUUUGUGUAUUUUCCCCCAUUUAUAAAAACAGAGUAUAGGAAUUGUUUAUUCAGUAACAAAUGCAAUAACAUAUAAGGUCCAUAAAUAACAGAUAAAAAUAAAUAGUA